ACUAGUGUCAGUGAUGUGGUAUUUUGCCAUCCUGUGAAAACCAAUCUCAGCUGAACACUGUUGAGUUUAUAGAAACCACUACACUUGCUUUUUGUGAAUUUUUGCAGAUGGUCCCUUUAUCUUGAGAUGAUCCACAGCUCUGAUCUCCCCUCAGAAGAUACACACCUCCUUCCCACAAGGAAAGAUAUGAGAUCCCUGCAACCAACAUUCCUACGGCACAAAGUUUCAGCUUCUUGUGGAACAACCAUCUUUACAGAGUACUGGUUCUCAUACCAUUGCAGGUGCCACUGCCAAAACCUUAUCUGGAACUCCUCUCCCUACUAUUUGCUCUUCCAUGCUAAACCUUGUAGAAACAAGCUGUUAUGCAUCUUGAAUUUUCUGUCUGUGAAUCCAACAAUUGGCACUGUGCCAUCCAUGUCUUCAAUGUUCUUCAUGUGAAGGAUUUUAUUCUCCGUAAGGAAUCUGUUUCAGGUCUGCUUUGUUAUGUCAGGAAUUUAUGGAUAGGUUUCCACUGUCAAAUCCUGUCAGCUGACAGGUGACAUAAUUGCUGCUGGCACAUCCCCCUACAACCUGGUGUAGCUCAUUUCCAGGCAGAGCAAACUUGCUGUCAUUAGCAGCUUAGCUUCCAGUUAAGCUUCUCUGACAAGUCAUAAGGCUCACUCCAGAUGCAGAAACACUAGCAUUCUACUGCUGAUGACAUAAGUCUUUCAAAUAACAUAUUAUUUCAAUAACAUACCCCUCCUCCAGAAAAUGCCAGGUAAUGCUUGGGAAUAAAUUAGAAAUUGCAGCCUGUGUUGCUUUGUCC
ensembl:lncRNA